rnacentral:rRNA from 1 species
CUGCCUUCGUAAGGAGGAGGAAGGUGUGGACGACGUCAAGUCAUCAUGGCCCUUAUGCCCAGGGCGACACACGUGCUACAAUGGCAUAUACAAUGAGACGCAAUACCGCGAGGUGGAGCAAAUCUAUAAAAUAUGUCCCAGUUCGGAUUGUUCUCUGCAACUCGAGAGCAUGAAGCCGGAAUCGCUAGUAAUCGUAGAUCAGCCAUGCUACGGUGAAUACGUUCCCGGGUCUUGUACUCACCGCCCGUCACACCAUGGGAGUUGAUUUCACUCGAAGCCGGAAUACUAAACUAGUUACCGUCCACAGUGGAAUCAGCGACUGGGGUGAAGUCGUAACAAGGUAACCGUAGGAGAACCUGCGGUUGGAUCACCUCCUUUCUAG